CCGUUAUCCAAGGGGCGCCCCGAGAAGGGGCUGAGAUACCGCUAGCGCGCGGGAACCCUUAGAACCUGAUCCGGGUCGUACCGGCGUAGGGAUGGAAAGGGCCGCACAC
rnacentral:ncRNA from 2 species